GAUGAACGCUGGCGGCGUGCUUAACACAUGCAAGUCGAACGAAGAUGCCGGAGUGCUUGCACUUUGGCAGACUGAGUGGCGGACGGGUGAGUAACGCGUGGGUAACCUGCCUUAUACAGGGGGAUAACAGUUGGAAACGACUGCUAAUACCGCAUAAGCGCACGGUAUCGCAUGAUACAGUGUGAAAAACUCCGGUGGUAUAAGAUGGACCCGCGUCUGAUUAGCUUGUUGGUGAGGUAACGGCCCACCAAGGCGACGAUCAGUAGCCGGCCUGAGAGGGUGAACGGCCACAUUGGGACUGAGACACGGCCCAAACUCCUACGGGAGGCAGCAGUGGGGAAUAUUGCACAAUGGGGGAAACCCUGAUGCAGCGACGCCGCGUGAGUGAUGAAGUAUUUCGGGUAUGUAAAACUCUAUCAGCAGGGAAGAUAAUGACGGUACCUGACUAAGAAGCACCGGCUAAAAUACGUG
rnacentral:rRNA from 1 species